CAAGUCGAGCGAAUGGAUUAAGAGCUUGCUUUUAUGAAGUUAGCGGCGGACGGGUGAGUAACACGUGGGUAACCUGCCCAUAAGACUGGGAUAACUCCGGGAAACCGGGGCUAAUACCGGAUAACAUUUUGAACCGCAUGGUUCGAAAUUGAAAGGCGGCUUCGGCUGUCACUUAUGGAUGGACCCGCGUCGCAUUAGCUAGUUGGUGAGGUAACGGCUCACCAAGGCAACGAUGCGUAGCCGACCUGAGAGGGUGAUCGGCCACACUGGGACUGAGACACGGCCCAGACUCCUACGGGAGGCAGCAGUAGGGAAUCUUCCGCAAUGGACGAAAGUCUGACGGAGCAACGCCGCGUGAGUGAUGAAGGCUUUCGGGUCGUAAAACUCUGUUGUUAGGGAAGAACAAGUGCUAGUUGAAUAAGCUGGCACCUUGACGGUACCUAACCAGAAAGCCACGGCUAACUACGUGCCAGCAGCCGCGGUAAUACGUAGGUGGCAAGCGUUAUCCGGAAUUAUU
rnacentral:rRNA from 1 species